UUAUGUACCUGGCAGGGGUAAUAUCGUGAUCAAGGAGACGGUUUGCCCAAAGCAAGGCUCACCCAUUGCAUUCGGGUUGUGCUGACCUUUGCGAAUUCCCCAAAUGCAGGAAUCUUGACUGCAUUAAUUUCUGAUAACAGGGGAUUGCAUUUGCACUCUCCCU